UGACAGUGUAGCUUUAGGCAGAUCACUCCGAGCUUGGUUUUCAUAUCAUGAGAAAAAGGGAACUGGGAUUGUCUUUUCAGGGCAGAGUUUCUGUUUGUGCAUAUUUGCCAAAGUGGAGGUACAAAUUAUAGCACGGUGGAUGCUUGCGCCGGAAUGCCUGGGCUGGAAUUCUGGCUCUUCUGCUUAUCAACUGUGUAACUCCGGUCAAGAGAAGGAGAAAGUUCUGGGCCUGGAAAGGGGCUACUCUCACCCAUGGCAUGGCUGGCCCUCAGCUGCCUCUGGCUGGAGCAACUGCUUUACAGUGGGUAGGAUUCACUGCUCCUGGUAAAGAUAUUUUCAAGGCAGUGAUCUCUCCAACCAGCAAAACCACUGAGCAUCAAGACUCCUCACUACCUGGCUCCUGAAGGCACUGGCAGCCAAGCAGGAGAAUGGAGGAUACUCUUCUAGAGAAGUGAACAGAACCAAGAGAUUCUGGUCUUUGGUAGUAAUUCAACAAAAUGGCUAGGCUCCUACCUGAUAACAAAGCCAUAUGCCUACAUGUGGAGACAGAGAUUCCAAUUAUGUAAAUAGUGACUCAUUCUUAAAACGAAUGACCAGACAUGGAUCAGACAUUUGAGUAAAGUAUCUAACUUAACAAUACAAACAAACAUGAUGAAAGAAAUUUGAAGGGAACAGAGACAAUGUAAAGAGCAGAAGUAAAAAUAUAUAUGGCUCUCAGAUUGUUGAAUGAAAAUAGAACAAAGAAAGCAUAAAAAUACAACAAAGAUUCAAAAAAGUUAAAGUUUCACAGUUGGAAUUAAAAUAUGAUAGCAGAAAUGAAAAAAAAUUAAUAGAAUGUUUAAAAUCUAAAAUUGAAAAAAAUGCUCUAGAAACUGGGGGGAAAGUCAGAGACAGAAAACAGAAGAAAAAACAAGAAAAAUAUAGAAUUGGUACAUGUGAAAAUGAUUUAUAGAAAAAGAAAAUAAAGAUAAAAAAUUCAUUAAAGAAACA
rnacentral:lncRNA from 13 species